UCUGGAGCUGUGAGGCAGCAGUUCCGCUGUACCACCAACAAUUCAACAACUUCGGAUGCUGCUCGAUCCGCUGAGCUCCUCCAGCAGAUUGUUUGUUGCUCCAGAUUCCAACAUCUGCAGUAUCUUGUGCCUCUCAACCAACGACACUAUUCACAUCGCUGCUUGUGGAAUCUUGCUGUGCAGCAUUUGCUUCUUGAGUUUCCCACAGAGACAGGAAUGUGAUAAAGAGUUUGGAGUGAAGAUCUGCACUGCAAGACAACUCAGACAUAUGUUCAAUGGCCCGUACCUGAACCAGAGAGGCUGGGGGUUGGAGAUGACACAGCGGCACAGCUGGUCAAGCUGCUGCCUCACAGUACCAGAGAUCCGG